UACGAAGGGGGCUAGCGUUGCUCGGAAUCACUGGGCGUAAAGCGCACGUAGGCGGCUUUUUAAGUCAGGGGUGAAAUCCUGGAGCUCAACUCCAGAACUGCCUUUGAUACUGAGAAGCUUGAGUCCGGGAGAGGUGAGUGGAACUGCGAGUGUAGAGGUGAAAUUCGUAGAUAUUGGGAAGAACACCAGUGGCGAAGGCGGCUCACUGGCCCGUAACUGACGCUGAGGUGCGAAAGCGUGGGGAGCAAACAGG
rnacentral:rRNA from 1 species